UGGUCAGUGAUGACUAGUCCACUGCGCAAACUGACGUGCGCAUGAAACGCGUGUGAAGAAAGCAGUGCUGAUCUCAGUCUGAGCCCG